GUCGCUGCCCGGAACUGAGCCGUUUCGAGAAGACUGGGGACUGCCGACUUAGGGCCCUCACGGGUUUUUUGUCAGUGGAAACCAAUUUAAUCGCAGCGGCUUGAACCGGGCAA
rnacentral:rRNA from 1 species